rnacentral:rRNA from 1 species
GUGUCAGCAGCCGCGGUAAUACGUAGGGGGCGAGCGUUGUCCGGAUUUACUGGGCGUAAAGCGCGUGUAGGCGGCCCGUUAAGUGGGGUGUGAAAGCCCGGGGCUCAACCCCGGGACGCCGCUUCAAACUGGCGGGCUUGAGGACGGAAGAGGGGAGUGGAAUUCCUGGUGUAGCGGUGAAAUGCGUAGAGAUCAGGAGGAACACCCGUGGCGAAGGCGGCUCCCUGGUCCGUCCCUGACGCUGAGACGCGAAAGCGCGGGGAGCGAACGGGAUUAGAUACCCCGGUAGUCC